rnacentral:rRNA from 1 species
GAGUUGUAAUUUGAAGAAGCGUUUUCUGCGAAUUUGGUUAGUCCAAAUCCCUUGGAAUAAGGUAUCAUGGAGGGUGAGAAUCCCGUUCGGUUAACCAAAGCGCUUUACGAUACGCUUUCAAAGAGUCAAGUUGUUUGGGAUUGCAGCUUAAAAUGGGAGGUAAAUUUCUCCUAAGGCUAAAUAUUGGCGAGAGACCGAUAGCGAACAAGUACCGUGAGGGAAAGAUGAAAAGAACUUUGAAAAGAGAGUUAAACAGUACGUGAAAUUGUUGAAAGGGAAACGAUUAAAGUCAGUCGUACCCACGAGUAAUCAACCUACUCGAGUGCGAUUUUGUGGGUAUGUUAGAGUUUAAACCUUCAUGCUUACAAAUUGGUGCUCUUUGGGCGUACUUUCUCGUAUGGUAGGUUAACAUCAAUUUCGGUCGUUAUAAAAUGACUGGAGGAAUGUAGCUUCGACCUCGGUUGAAGUGUUAUAGCCUUUGGUAGAUGUAAUGAUUGGGAUUGAGGAUUGCAACGGAUACCCUCUGGGCUAUUCGUCUGAUCUCUGGAAGUUACCUUGGUGUCGAAAGCGUGCUU